UCAGACUCUCUACAAAGACAAUGCUUCUACUCGCUGUUCUGUUUACUUUAUUCUUACAUAUAGAAAGUAACUCUCAGGUGGAUCAGCCAAAAGAACUGACUGUUCACCAAGGAGAGGUGGCAGAAAUUAACUGUAAUCACAGCAUAACAACAUAUGACAGAAUGUUCUGGUACAAACAGAAAUUCAGUACAGGACCUGAGAAUAUCAUAUCAGGCUAUAAGUCUGCUGAAGAUAUAGGUCCCUUCAGGAUGACUUUCAUUAAGGACAAGUUAGCCACCAGCCUCAUAAUCACAGAUGUGCAGAUUUCUCAUGCUGGGACAUAUUACUGCGCUGUGAACGACACAGUGAUGAAAGGCACCAAGACACAUGUCGUAAAACCUUUAUUUGUUUCACAACACAGUUUAGAAUGGGAGCAGGUGUCACAUCCUCUCUAA